ACGACAAAGGCAAACCCGUCGAAAGACGGCGGCGCAAAGUGACCGGCCUACGGAGCGACUCCACGGCAGCGGCACCACCG
rnacentral:ncRNA from 1 species